GACAGAGGGUGCAAACGUUGUUCGGAAUUACUGGGCGUAAAGCGCGUGUAGGCUGCUUCGCAAGUCGGAUGUGAAAGCCCUGGGCUCAACCCAGGAAGUGCAUUCGAAACUGCAGAGCUGGAGUCCUGGAGAGGAAGGCGGAAUUCUCGGUGUAGAGGUGAAAUUCGUGGAUAUCGAGAGGAACACCGGUGGCGAAGGCGGCCUUCUGGACAGUGACUGACGCUGAGACGCGAAAGCGUGGGGAGCGAACAGG
rnacentral:rRNA from 1 species